rnacentral:rRNA from 1 species
UACGUAGGGUGCGAGCGUUGUCCGGAAUUAUUGGGCGUAAAGAGCUCGUAGGCGGUCUGUCGCGUCGGUCGUGAAAACUUGGGGCUUAACCCUGAGCUUGCGGUCGAUACGGGCAUGACUGGAGUUCGGUAGGGGAGACUGGAAUUCCUGGUGUAGCGGUGAAAUGCGCAGAUAUCAGGAGGAGCACCGGUGGCGAAGGCGGGUCUCUGGGCCGAUACUGACGCUGAGGAGCGAAAGCGUGGGGAGCGAACAGG